UGAGGAGUCUUAUGUAGACGAAACGCGCGUCUGGCGUACUUAAUUAUAAUCCUGGUACCUUUGAUAACUAAGUAUGCUUAUCAAUGGUAUGUCCUUGUAUCCGUAAAGGUUUCAGUUUAGGUAGCACUCCACAGUUAGAAAAUAAAAUUAAAAAUGAGCCACAAAAUGUUUUAUCAUCUCCUAUUUCUGGAUUUCUAAUACAUUAACCUAACUGUUUGUGUUGUACAUGGACAUAUGUAUGUAAUCAGUAUAUUCCAUAGAUUUGAUUUUCAAAAGCUAAAAGAGGGAAAAUUAAUUCCUUUUAUGUGUAUCCAUGGCAACAUUCUGCAUUUAUUUACCAUAAAAUAUUGCAAAAAGGGGGGUAGACAUGUCACAUAUCCC
rnacentral:lncRNA from 1 species